UUUCACGUUCUGAUGCUUAUUCAAUAGAUGCCUGGAAUAUAAUUUUGAUGACUGGAACUUUCUGUAAAAUUCAGUAUGUCCACAAAGUGUUUUAAGAGGAUUUACUGUAAUCUAUUUGUUUUGUCUUUCUGGUAAUGGUUUCUGGAGUAGUUUUUAUACCUCUAAGACAAGUUAUCUGAGAAAUGGGAUUUAGUCCUACAGCCUGAAAUUUCUAGAUAGCCUUCAAAUUCCCCAGCUGAGGGAUUUUUAUGAAUGAAGUAAGGAGUGCGCACAAGAGGUCAUCAGGUUCCACUAUGUAGGAAGCGCUGGUUUUGGAAUGGAGCUACUGAUGUAAACUGCCUACUUCCAACAGACUGGUGAUAAAUCGAUACUUCAUGAUGUGGAGGGCACCACAGCGGCAAGUGAAGCUGUGAAGAGACAACUGCGUGUUAGGCAGCAGCUCUUUGUAGAAGGGUGCCUUAGCUACUAAAAUCUUCUAAUGUAAGUGUCUUACUAUUUUCUUGUUAAGCAUGCUGGAUACCUAUUUAUUUCUACCAUAACAAAGAUGACCGAGGGCAUGCCAUUUCAAGUUACUUUUUGAAGGUUUUUCAUAGGUUUGUGCUAUGAAUAACUGGUAGAGAAGUACAAAUUGCUUUCUCAUUGAGAAGCAUGUUCUUUGUAAUCUGUAUUCCUUUGUCUUCAAAUGCU
rnacentral:lncRNA from 1 species